CUAAUAUGAUAUUAACUUUGUCUUUUUCUAUUUCAUAUAAUGGCCUGAUUGUGUGGCCAACAUAUUCCUCGGCGAGCCGUUGAACGUAUUCCACGUUCUCAGCCACAAUCCUACGGGUUUUGCAAAGGUUGCACUCGUAUAAGGUCGAACAGUCGAAUAACUUGAAACACCAAUAAAAUUCUUGAUCAAUGGUAUAUUGCCUAACGGCAAAACGGCCACUACGGGUGGUUGAUCCUUAGCAACCUGUAAAAAAUAUGGUAAUAAUGCAACUUUCUGAUUGGUACAUAACAUGUUUAUGAAAUGAAUGCCAUGAAAUUUUUACGUUAUAAUACCUUCUCAUUUUGCGUAUAAUGAAAACCUAAGUAAAUGUUGUUUAUUUCAACGUGAAUUUAUUUUUAAGUAACAAGCGUAAGUAAUUAAUGUUAUCGCAGAUUAAAUAUUUUCAAGGUUGCACAGUGCCAGGCAAACAAAAUAUGACUCACAAAGCUAUUUCAGUCGCUUAUGCAAAUUAAAAAUUUACUACAUAAUUACUGAA